AUGCAAGUCGAGCGGACAGAAGGGAGCUUGCUCCCGGAUGUUAGCGGCGGACGGGUGAGUAACACGUGGGUAACCUGCCUGUAAGACUGGGAUAACUCCGGGAAACCGGAGCUAAUACCGGAUAGUUCCUUGAACCGCAUGGUUCAAGGAUGAAAGACGGUUUCGGCUGUCACUUACAGAUGGACCCGCGGCGCAUUAGCUAGUUGGUGGGGUAAUGGCUCACCAAGGCGACGAUGCGUAGCCGACCUGAGAGGGUGAUCGGCCACACUGGGACUGAGACACGGCCCAGACUCCUACGGGAGGCAGCAGUAGGGAAUCUUCCGCAAUGGACGAAAGUCUGACGGAGCAACGCCGCGUGAGUGAUGAAGGUUUUCGGAUCGUAAAGCUCUGUUGUUAGGGAAGAACAAGUGCGAGAGUAACUGCUCGCACCUUGACGGUACCUAACCAGAAAGCCACGGCUAACUACGUGCCAGCAGCCGCGGUAAUACGUAGGUGGCAAGCGUUGUCCGGAAUUAUUGGGCGUAAAGGGCUCGCAGGCGGUUUCUUAAGUCUGAUGUGAAAGCCCCCGGCUCAACCGGGGAGGGUCAUUGGAAACUGGGAAACUUGAGUGCAGAAGAGGAGAGUGGAAUUCCACGUGUAGCGGUGAAAUGCGUAGAGAUGUGGAGGAACACCAGUGGCGAAGGCGACUCUCUGGUCUGUAACUGACGCUGAGGAGCGAAAGCGUGGGGAGCGAACAGGAUUAGAUACCCUGGUAGUCCACGCCGUAAACGAUGAGUGCUAAGUGUUAGGGGGUUUCCGCCCCUUAGUGCUGCAGCUAACGCAUUAAGCACUCCGCCUGGGGAGUACGGUCGCAAGACUGAAACUCAAAGGAAUUGACGGGGGCCCGCACAAGCGGUGGAGCAUG
rnacentral:rRNA from 1 species